AGACAAUCAGCUGGAGUUUGCUGAAGAAUUCAAGGAUUCAGCACCUCAGAGGAGGGGAGAUGACCUCCUCUGGGUACUCAAAGUGAUGGGAAGGGUGAUUGUCAGCAAAAUGAUCACACAGCUGAUGGAAACAGCAAAAUAGAAAACAAGCCCUCCUGCCCUGUUGGUUUUUUGGGAUUUUAAAUUAAUUGUAUUUUUGCCUCUCAAAUUUGUGCAUUUUUGCUGUGUUUUUACAGAGCUAAAAUAUAUCUGAUAGUACUCAGAAGUAUUAAUUUGUACUUUGUACGCUAUUUUCUGCAUGUUUAAAUGUGCACAUGAUGCAAUUUACAAAUUCCAAUCAAGAAUGUAAAUCCCAGGGAAGCGUUGAAGUCAGAUGUCAUCUGAAUGUUUAGCGUGAUUUCUACUUAUGGCAUUGAAAUAAUACAGCUGGGGAGAACAAUUUUUGUUCUCUUAAAGAGUAAAAAAUUUGUAAACAGCCAUGGAAACAAAGAGAAGACUGCACAGUUUUGUGUGUGUGUGUAUAGAUGUUAUUGCCAUUGAAUUGCUCUGGAGAUAUUGCCUCAGAAUUAAAAGGUUAAGGUCAGGUCUGCUGCCAAUACUUGUCAGAUAACACCACUAAUGGACUGUUAUAAUGGAAAUAUAGUGAAUAAGAGAACAAGUGGAUAAGAGUACAAUGGUUGCUUUCCCUUCUGAAUUUAUUCCCUUUCUUUUAUUUCUGCAGCAUCAAGAGAGCACUUGUAGCACAAAUCCAGGGGAGGAGAGGUCUGGUAAGGAUUUUACAUCUGGCUUAUGGAGAGCUCUUGAACACUUUACAGCUGUCAUCAAGUCAUGAUGUGUGUCCAUUUGAUUCUGAUUUCUGCAGCAAGAUGCAGGUCACGGUGCUGAAGCUGCAGUGAGAGCAGCAGUCCCUGCCCUCCGAUGUCACUGUCAUAUUCUCUGAAAAAUCCUUUCACCGGGAUUUCUUCUUCUGGGAAGCUGAGAAGCCUCAGGUAAAAAGGAAAACAAUAUUAUCUCAUUUGUU
rnacentral:lncRNA from 1 species